UGCUCUGGCUCCCUAGUAGUUAGAGCAUCCUCCUCGGAUGCGGGAGGUCGCUGGUUCGAACCCCGGCCUGGUCAU